CUACGGGAGGCAGCAGUGGGGAAUAUUGCGCAAUGGAGGAAACUCUGACGCAGCCAUGCCGCGUGAGUGAAGAAGGCCUUAGGGUUGUAAAGCUCUUUCCAGUUGUGAUGAUGAUGACAGUAGGGAUGAAGAGAAGUUCCGGCUAACUUGGUGCCAGCAGCCGCGGUAUUACGAAGGGAACUAUCGUUGUUCGGAUUUACUGGGCGUAAAGAUUUUGUGGGCGGAUUGGACAGUUGAGGGUGAAAUCCCAGUAGCUGAUCUCUGGAACGGCCUUCACUACUUCCAGUCUAUAGUCCGUUAGGGGGUGGUGUCAUUCCGAGUGUGGAGGUGAAAUUCGUGGAUAUUUGGAGGAACACCAUUGGCGAAGGCGACCACCUGGUACGGUACUGACGCUGAGAUGCGAAAGCGUGGGGAGCACACAGGAUUAGAUACCCUGGUAGUCCACACCCUAUGCGAUGAGUGCCAGUUGUCAAGAAGUUUACGUCUUGGGGACGCAUCCAACGCAUUAAGCAUUCUGC
rnacentral:rRNA from 1 species